rnacentral:rRNA from 1 species
UACAGAGGUCUCGAGCGUUAGGCGGAAUCACUGGGCUUAAAGCGUGUGUAGGCGGGUCGUUAAGUUCCUUGUGAAAUCCCAUGGCUCAACCAUGGAACUGCUGGGUAUACUGGCGAUCUUGUGCAACCUAGGGGCGAGCGGAACAGAUGGUGGAGCGGUGAAAUGCGUAGAUAUCAUCUGGAACGCCAAUGGUGAAAACAGCUCGCUGGGGGUUUGCAGACGCUGAGACACGAAAGCCAGGGGAGCGAACGGG